GACGAACGCUGGCGGCGUGCCUAACACAUGCAAGUCGAACGAGAAUCUUUGAACAGAACUUUUCGGAGUGACGUUCAAAGAGGAAAGUGGCGGACGGGCGAGUAACGCGUGAGUAACCUGCCCAUAAGAGGGGGAUAAUCCAUGGAAACGUGGACUAAUACCGCAUAUUGUAGUUAAGUUGCAUGACUUGAUUAUGAAAGAUUUAUCGCUUAUGGAUGGACUCGCGUCAGAUUAGAUAGUUGGUGAGGUAACGGCUCACCAAGUCAACGAUCUGUAGCCGAACUGAGAGGUUGAUCGGCCGCAUUGGGACUGAGACACGGCCCAGACUCCUACGGGAGGCAGCAGUGGGGAAUAUUGCGCAAUGGGGGCAACCCUGACGCAGCAACGCCGCGUGCAGGANAAGGCUUCGGAUUGUAAACUGUUGUCGCAAGGGAAGAAGACAGUGACGGUACCUUGUGAGAAAGUCACGGCUAACUACGUGCCAGCAG
rnacentral:rRNA from 1 species